rnacentral:tRNA from 1 species
GUUGUUUUUAUAGUUGAAUAACAACGGUGGUUUUUCGAAUCACAAGUUCUGGUUAAGAAUAUAUUCCAGAUAAAAACU